AGUUCAAAAAAGUAACUUUUCCAAGCUCUGGCUACCUGUACACACAAACCCAUAUGUUUGGGGGUGAGACUCUGCAGCAGAUUUCAGUUGCAAAGUGGUGCAAGAUUGAAGAUUUGAGUCUGGAACUGCUUAGAUUUCUUCAAGUGCUUUCUCUGUAACUGGAGUUCCAGAAAUGUGACUGCAGAGAAGCAAGUGUGACAGCAGACACCUAUUCUGUUCUGAACCAAGUUCUCCCUGCAAUGCAGAAGAUCAAAACUUCCAGGAGCAAAAGAAGAAUGUGGCAUACAUUUCAAUGCAGAAUGAACAGCAGUAGCUGGAAAUGAUGACCCAAGGAUUGGUGCUGCGAGUGAUGUCUAGAUCAAAAGUGUCUGCUUAGCAGGAUGCUAAAGAAGAUAUACA